GGGAUGACACGGAAUUGUCUGACAGGAUGUCAAACUAAGGGACCAGCACAUCGGAUGUGCUUCGCUGUAAGGAUGCAGCACCGCUUAAUAUAUCUUAUUCUCCGUAACAAA
rnacentral:sRNA from 1 species